AUUGAACGCUGGCGGCAGGCCUAACACCUGCAAGUCGAGCGAGCGGCGGACGGGUGAGUAAUGUAUGGGGACUGCCCGAUAGCGGGGGAUAACUACUGGAAACGGUAGCUAAUACAGCAUACUAUCGGAUAACCCAUAUGGGAUUAGCUAGUAGGUGAGGUACUGGCUCACCUAGGCGACGAUACCUCGCUGGUCUGAGAGGAUGAUCAGACACACUGGUACUUGGAUACGGCCCAGCAUCGUACGGAGGCAGCAGUGGGGAAUAUUGCACAAUGGGCGCAAGCCUGAGGCAGCCAUGCCGCGUGUAUGAAGAAGGCCCUAGGGUUGUAAAGUACUUUCAGUCGGGAGGCGUUACCGACAGAAGAAGCACCGGCUAACUCCGUGCCAGCAGCCGCGGUAAUUC
rnacentral:rRNA from 1 species